rnacentral:rRNA from 1 species
AUUGAACGCUGGCGGUAGGCUUAACACAUGCAAGUCGAACGAGCGGCGGACGGGUGAGCAAUGUACGGGAAUCUAGCUCAUGGAGGGGGAUAACUACGGGAUAUUGUAGCUAAUACCGCGUACCAUAGGAUGAGCCCAAGUGGGGUUAGGUAGUUGGUGAGGUAAAGGCUCACCAAGCCGACGAUCUCUAGCUGGUCUGAGAGGAUGACCAGCCGCGCUGGGACUGAGACAGGGCCCGAACUCCAACGGAAAACAGGAGUUGGGAAUAUUGCGCGGAGAAGGCAACCUGACGAAGCCAUGCCGCGUGAAUGAGGGAGGCCUUCGGGUUGUAAAGUUCUUUCGGUAGCGAGGCGUUAACUACAGGAGAAACACCGGCUAACUCCGUGCCAGCAGCCGCGGUAAUAC